GGAUGUGAGGGCAAUCUGACUGCAAAAUCUGUCCCCGCCUUGAUUGCCAAAGUUGGUUCAGCUCAUCUGGCUGGCUGGGUGGGUGUCCCCUUCCUCCCUUGAUGUUCCACGUGCCUCCCUCUGAAGCAGUGCACUUGAUCGAAAAGGAAAGCCACCCCCAUAAGGGAGGACCAUUCCUUGAUCAAAGGUGUACAAGUACCUGCACUCCCCUGUUGGAACCUCGAAACAAGCUCUCAAAAAAAGAUCUUUAACCUUUCAGAAUUCCUAAAAAUACAACUUAUAUACAGGGGAUUAGGAAUAAAAAAAUACAGAUUACAUUUGACUUUAUAGUG
ensembl:misc_RNA 7SK 7SK RNA